rnacentral:rRNA from 1 species
GCCCGAAUUACCGCGGCGGCUGCGGCUGCAGGGGUCAAAGCCUUCGGGCGCUAGGAGAUCGGCUCGCGGCCCAUUAGGUAGUUGGCGGGGUAAUGGCCCACCAAGCCUGAGAUGGGUAGCUGGUCUGAGAGGAUGAUCAGCCACACUGGGACUGAGAUACGGCCCAGACUCCUACGGGAGGCAGCAGUGGGGAAUAUUGCGCAAUGGGCGAAAGCCUGACGCAGCAACGCCGCGUGUGUGAUGAAGGCUCUCGGGUCGUAAAGCACUGUCAGAAGGGAAGAAACAAAUGACGGUACCUUCAAAGGAAGCACCGGCUAACUUCCGUGCCAGCCGCCGCGGUAAUACGGGCUAGAGCGGCCGCCACGCGGUGGAGCUCCAGCUUUUGUUCCCUUUAGUGAGGGUUAAUUGCGCGCUUGGCGUAAUCAUGGUCAUAGCU